AUACAUUGAUGGCUGCGGGCUAAGUGGCCAGGUUCCUUCAACAUUUGCCCGCUUGAGAAACGUGAAUACCUUGUGGGCAUCUGAUAACAACUUCACAGGAAAGAUACCUGAUUUCACUGGGAGUUGGGCUCUCACUGAUUUGAGUAUGCGAGGCAAUGCUUUCGAGGGUCCCAUACCAUCGAGUUUUUCUAAAUUGACCUCAAUGGAAUAUU